rnacentral:rRNA from 1 species
GACGAACGCUGGCGGCGGGCUUAACACAUGCAAGUCGAACGGAAAGGCCCUGCUUUUGUGGGGUGCUCGAGUGGCGAACGGGUGAGUAACACGUGAGUAACCUGCCCUUGACUUUGGGAUAACGUCAGGAAACUGGGGCUAAUACCGGAUAGGAGCUCCUGCUGCAUGGUGGGGGCUGGAAAGUUUCGGCGGUUGGGGAUGGACUCGCGGCUUAUCAGCUUGUUGGUGGGGUAGUGGCUUACCAAGGCUUUGACGGGUAGCCGGCCUGAGAGGGUGACCGGGCAGAUUGGGAAUGGGAUACGGCCCAGACUGCUGCGGGAGGCAGAGGCGGGGGAUACUGUACAAGGGGGGGAAGAAGGAUGCAGCAGCGCCGCGUGCGGGAUGAUGGCCUUCGGGGUGUAGGCCGCUUGCGCCUGUGAGGAAGCGUGAGUGACGGUAAUGGGGAAAGGAGCACCGGCUAGCUACGUG